GACGAACGCUGGCGGCGUGCUUAACACGUGCAAGUCGAACGGAAAGGCCCUGCUUGCAGGGUACUCGAGUGGCGAACGGGUGAGUAACACGUGGGUGAUCUGCCCUGCACUUCGGGAUAAGCCUGGGAAACUGGGUCUAAUACCGGAUAGGAGCCAUUUUUAGUGUGAUGGUUGGAAAGUUUUUUCGGUGUAGGAUGAGCUCGCGGCCUAUCAGCUUGUUGGUGGGGUAAUGGCCUACCAAGGCGGCGACGGGUAGCCGGCCUGAGAGGGUGGACGGCCACAUUGGGACUGAGAUACGGCCCAGACUCCUACGGGAGGCAGCAGUGGGGAAUAUUGCACAAGGGGCGCAAGCCUGAUGCAGCGACGCCGCGUGGGGGAUGACGGCCUUCGGGUUGUAAACUCCUUUCGCUAGGGACGAAGCUUUUUGUGACGGUACCUAGAUAAGAAGCACCGGCUAACUACGUG
rnacentral:rRNA from 1 species